rnacentral:rRNA from 1 species
GAUGAACGCUGGCGGCGUGCCUAAUACAUGCAAGUCGAGCGAACAGAUGAGGAGCUUGCUCCUCUGACGUUAGCGGCGGACGGGUGAGUAACACGUGGAUAACCUACCUAUAAGACUGGGAUAACUUCGGGAAACCGGAGCUAAUACCGGAUAAUAUAUUGAACCGCAUGGUUCAAUAGUGAAAGACGGUUUUGCUGUCACUUAUAGAUGGAUCCGCGCCGCAUUAGCUAGUUGGUAAGGUAACGGCUUACCAAGGCAACGAUGCGUAGCCGACCUGAGAGGGUGAUCGGCCACACUGGACCUGGGACACGGGCCAGACUCCUACGGGAGGCAGCAGUAGCGAAUCUUCCGCAAUGGGCGAAAGCCUGACGGAGCAACGCCGCGUGAGUGAUGAAGGUCUUCGGAUCGUAAAACUCGGUUAUUAGGGAAGAACAAAUGUGUAAGUAACUAUGCACGUCUUGACGGUACCUAAUCAGAAAGCCACGGCUAACUACGUG